UUCUGGUUGAUCCUGCCGGAGGCUACCGCUAUUGGAGUUCGAUUAAGCCAUGCGAGUCGAGAGUCUUAGGGACUCGGCGUACCGCUCAGUAACACGUGGGUAACCUGCCCUAUGCUGGGGAAUAACCUCGGGAAACUGAGAAUAAUACCUCAUAGUCCACAAUGCCUGGAACGGUUUGUGGAUUAAAGCCCCGGCGGCAUAGGAUGGGCCUGCGGCGUAUCAGGUUGUAGGGGGUGUAACGUACCCUCUAGCCAUCAACACGUACGGGUGUUGGGAGACAUAGCCCGGAGAUGGAUUCUGAGACACGAAUCCAGACCCUACGGGGUGCAGCAGGCGCGAAAACUUGGCAAUGCGAGAAAUCGUGACCAGGGAACUCCAAGUGGCUGGGGUAAGACCCAGUCUUUUCUUGACUCUUCAAAGGUCUUGGAAUAAGAGGUGGGUAAGGACGGUGCCAGCCGCCGCGGUAAUACCGGCGCCUCAAGUGGUAGUCGAUUUUAUUGGGCCUAAAACGUCCGUAGCCUGUUUGGUACAUUCGUGGGUAAAUCAACCAGCUUAACUGGUUGAAUUCUGCGAGCACGGCCAGACUUGGGACCGGGAGAGGUGUGGGGUACGCUCAGGGUAGGGGUAAAAUCCUGUCAUCCUGAGCGGA
rnacentral:rRNA from 1 species